GUCUGUAGCAGCCUUUACUAAAAGUGGGUAAGAUGACAUGGGCUUAUAUAGCAAAAAUGCAACACUACAGCAGACAUGCAAGAGCUUUAAAGAAAAUAAAAAGUGUGGUCGAGUCUACUGCUCGGGCUCUGGCCCCAUGGGAAAGCCAUUCUCCACACUUAACAAGUAGACAAACAACAAAAUGCAAAGCUUCUCUGCAGGCCGACCUCCUCUUUCCCUCAGGGUCUCCUCUUGAUGCCUGAGACACCUCCAUCCACUUCUUGCCUCGAGGACCUACAGUUCUCAACAUGGAGUGCAGACCCCUCACCCUUCUGGCAUGGUUCUGCAUGAUCUUCACAAACUGACACCAAUGCUGGACCUCCUCAGCCCCCUCUGAGGGACCUUGAUGGCUUUCCGUUCCUCUUCCCACAAACGACAGGUCACCUUCUCCUUCUUCCUCAGUCCAAAGGAAGCUCCAGGCACUCUGCUCUGUGUUGCUUGGCUUCAUUGUCUGAAGCGCUUCAGAAGUUAACUAUGACACAGCAAGUAUACAAAUGCAUUACCAAUCACAGCAAUAUAGCUGGGCUCUCUAGGCCACACUUUCUUCUUUAAAAUAAACAGCGAGGCUUGUCUGGAGUCCUAACUUCUUGAAAAGCAAAGGCAAGGUUACACAGAAACCCAGAAGCUAAAGAUCAGCACAGACAAGAAUGCGAGACCUCUAUCAGUGACACUGUCAGUUCCAUGAAGAUGCACUCUUCUGGACCAUGUAAUAUGAGUUCUCAUGGAGUGGGUACAAAGCAGGCAUGACCAAAACUGUGGCACAAGAGGAGGUACUUAUUAGUGGUCUCUUAUAAAGUUAGCCACAGGUAGCCAUUAGGAAAUAGGAAGGACAUUAUUAGUUACAGAAGGCUAUGGGCAGUCAGUGAGCCAGGAAGGCUAGACUCAGGUCUAUGGGAAGCAGGGAGGAACAGCAGAAACAGUUCCCCUUCCUACUGGCCAAGGUAGCACUCCACCAGUAUAGAGGCUCCUAAGCUGCUGUCUUCUAUGGCAACUCUUUGGACAAUAGGCCUCUAAGUAAGUAAAGUUACUCAGGUCAGGUCAGAGGGGAAGCUUGUGCUCAACAACACUAAGAGUCAACAUCAUUACCAACCUACAGCUUGUGUUCAGGGAAAGGGUUGUGUCUACCAUUUUUCUAUGGCCAGGAGGCUGCCUCCAUGCUACCUCCAGGGGCCUGUCUGGCCCUGGACCCACACCAAGCUAGGGAGAAGGCUGGGGCUUUUUGGGAAUUGCAAACAGAGGCUCCUAUCUUUACAGGCAGUCCCUUGCCACUGGCUCAGAGACUUACUCCAGGCUCCUUGGUUUCCUCUCCUCUCCUUGACAGCAGAUUUCCUUGUAUACUACAGUCAUGCAGCCAGCCUGAGGUUCAGCUGGGGCUCAUUAAAGUGAUCACAGUGGGGGUAGAGGGAAAAGUGUGAUCAAGAACAUGGAUUUGUUUUCCCCAAUUAGGAUCAGUCAGACUCCUCUCAGGUGAUCAUCUAAAACAUGAUGGAGCUGUUGCCUAUGGGAUGAAAACAAUUGCCCAGCCUUUGCCAAGCUUGGGUACAACUCCUAGCUCCUCAAAAUGAAGAAAUAACAUCAAUAAAUAUUUCUCAUCUUUCAAGGGAGACCUCUUCCAUGUCUUUCAUAGUCUUAUCUCUCCCAUCUGUGGAGGCCAAUUGUUGUGGGGACCUCACAACCUUACUGCAUAGUUCACUAGCCUGUCCCCUCCAUUCAAGUCAGUUCAUGCCAAUGCAUGUAUUUGGGAACUGGAGGAUGUGCUCAGCACUGUAAAGCAUUGCUCAUAAAUAGGGUUGAUAACUUGAUACCUACUUUACAGGCAGGAAACUGAGGUACAGUGCAAAAUAAGUGUGUUGCCCUAAGGCUGUGCACUGAGUUAGUGUGGACUGACUCCAGAGUGCUGCUCACCUCUUCCCUGCACCACCACCUCUGCUGCCCUGCUCACGUCUGCUUUCCCACAGAAUACCUCGUUCGAGCUGGGCACACACAAACCCUCCCAGGUUGGACCUUCCACCUCUGCUCCAGAUUGCUUGAAGCAGUGUAACCAACAGCACCAGCCCCGGUUAGAGUGGAAGCAUAGGGACCCUUGGGUGUGGAUCCCCAACAUCUGGUGAUGUUCCUGGCUGAGUCCACUGGGCACUCGGGUGCAUCCUUCUCAGCUCUGCCAGCUCAUUCAGACACUUCAGUUCAUUUGAAAAAUGCAAGGUACAAUGGGAUCACUGGCACCACAGGAUCAGUCAGUUCGCUCCUGGUGGUGCACUUUUGCUUCAUACUUUGGGCACUUGUUUUGCUCCGUAUUUUGUCACUGCAGGGCUUCCAAGUCCCUGAUAACCAUACUCAUUUCUUUCCUCUUUCUGUCCACAGCUUUUAGAUUGGGUGUUGAACUCCAGGCUGCUUGGUUAAUACCUAAAAGGUGUGUGAAAUCCCCAGCAAGUCUCCUGCAAGCAAGCCUCUGUUGACGAUAACCUACAGGCCAGACAAAGAUGUGAUGGGUGAAGCCACGGACUGGGAUGCCAUGAGUGAAGCUCUCCAUCAGACUGCUCCUUGUGUA
rnacentral:lncRNA from 1 species